rnacentral:lncRNA from 1 species
ACAGUUUAUGUCAUUUGCCACAAAUCCAAAAAAGUAUAGGUCACGGGUCACAUAUUUUCAAAUUUAAUGAUCACAGAUUACUUUUUUAGCCACAAAAUAAUCGAAUUUCAACGUCGCAGAUUAAUAGUCAGUCACAGAGAAUCAAAUAGUUGAUCACCCACACCAAACACUCGUUCCCGAUCCGUUUCAAUACUUGAUCACAAACACUACCCCCAGCCACAAGAUCAUCCCAACCAUCGUCGCCACCACCACCAUUACUCCAAAAAUCGACAAAUCUAACUAAAAUAACUCAACAUCAACCACCGCACUAAGCCAAGCAAGCCACCAACUACUAGCAAUGACAGGGAUCGAACAGUAAGAGUACAGCAGGUUGAUCAGAAAAUCGCCAACAAAAACCACAGACCACCACACCAUUGCCGACCAAAAACCGCCUACCACCACACUAUCGCUUGCACAGCACCCACUUCCAAGAGCUAUAAAUACAACCAACAAAAAUCAGCUCCAAAAGAUUCAGCACCACCAGAUCGAACAGUGCAGCCACAUCGCUACACCACACCACAUCACACUGCUACCUAGAACACCACCACACCACACCAUACCGUCCCAAAAACUUAGGUGCCACCAAAUCGAACUCGCACAGUUGCAUUGCCAACCACAACACAAC